GACGAACGCUGGCGGCGUGCCUCAAACAUGCAAGUCGAGCGAGGAGAGACCGAACCGCAAGGUGAGGUUUUUCCUAGCGGCGAACGGGUGAGUAACACGUGGGUAACCUGCCUGGAAGAUCGGGAUAACGGCUCGAAAGAGUCGCUAAUACCGGAUAAUGUCUUGGUGCUGCAUGGCACCGGGAAGAAAGGGGAAACCCGCUUUCAGAUGGGCCCGCGCCCCAUCAGCUAGUUGGUAAGGUAAUGGCUUACCAAGGCGACGACGGGUAGCCGGUCUGAGAGGACGAUCGGCCACACUGGGACUGAGAUACGGCCCAGACUCCUACGGGAGGCAGCAGUUGGGAAUCUUAGGCAAUGGGCGAAAGCCUGACCUAGCGACGCCGCGUGAGGGGAAGAAGGCCUUCGGGUCGUAAACCUCUGUCAUGGGGAAGAAGAAAGUGACGGUACCCCAGGAGGAAGCCCCUGCUAACUACGUG
rnacentral:rRNA from 1 species